GAUCAUGGCUCAGGAUGAACGCUGGCGGCGUGCCUAAUACAUGCAAGUCGAACGAGAGUGCUUGCACUCUAGUGGCGAACGGGUGAGUAACACGUAGGUAACCUGCCUUACAGUUGGGAUACCCUGGCGAAAGCUAGGCUAAUACCGAAUAAUUGGAUUGGAGGCAUCUCCGAUCUCUAAAAGGGGCCUUUAAAGCCUCGCUGAAUGAUGGACCUGCGGCGCAUUAGCUAGUUGGUGAGAUAACAGCCCACCAAGGCGAGGAUGCGUAGCCGACCUGAGAGGGUGAACGGCCACACUGGAACUGAGACACGGUCCAGACUCCUACGGGAGGCAGCAGUAGGGAGUUUUCGGCAAUGGGGGCAACCCUGACCGAGCAACGCCGCGUGAAUGAUGAAAGGUCUUCGGAUUGUAAAGUUCUGUUAUAAGGGAAAAAUGAUAUGGUGAGGAAAUGCUCCAUAUUUGAUGGUACCUUAUUAGAAAGCCACGGCUAACUACGUGCCAGCCGCAGC
rnacentral:rRNA from 1 species